CAAAAUCCAGCAGAUAUUCUCUUUUUGCAUACUUAUGAUGACUGAAAAAGGACAUAAUCAAUUUUUCAUCAUCUUACCGCGGCCAACUAUCAAUACAAUUUUUGAUGGAUUUUACGAAUUAAUUUUGAGUUGCAUUUUAACUGUCUUUUUAGCUAUGUUGAUGAAUUUAAAGUUGUAGAUGAACUAUUUUUUGCAAUGUUGAUUUAUGUGCAUAACAUAUCAUCUCAUGAGGUUCAGGUCAAGCACCUGCUGUACAUAGAACAACAAUCCAUUACAGCUUUGAUUAUGCCGAGCAGAUCUUCUGCCCAUACUAGGCACAGCAAGAGUGCCCUGCUUUGAAGUGUUCUGUAAAUCAUAUGGUUCACAGAUAUCUCAGUGAUAAGGGUUUAGCUGUUAGUGGCCAAUGGUGUGGUACCUCAUUUCCAACAUUAUCCAUAUAGAGAAGACUCUGCAUACCUGCACAUUGACAACUGUGUUGGGUGGAAUAAAAACAAUGCAGCCAUUUGGGUCUGAUGUAUUCUGAAGGGAGAGAAACAGCAUUUACUUAAAUGGAAGCAGGUGACAUAAAGUUCAGUCUUGUGUGAGAUUUGGUCUGUGGAAGACCAAAUGGAGGCAGCACACAUCCUUUGUGGAUUGAUGACCUUGGCAAACUGGUUAUAUUCUUUGACUGGUUGGAGUACACCAAGUGACCCCUGAAGUCCAUUCCAAACUUGAGGAAAUAUCAUCACUUCAGAACUUCAGCUGACAACCCCGUGAGUGAAUUUAUGAAAGAGCAUGCCAAGGACAGUGAGAUUGUAGUUAAAAUUGACAAGCCCACAACAAUGGCUUUUCCAUGGAGAGUACCCUGAACGCAUCCAACUAAAAGGACUUAAUGCGAAAAGGCUCUGAUCCCUUAAAUAAGUGAAAAAAACAAUAAACUGAUAUGUAAUCUUUAUAAACUAAAUAUAAGAUUUGAGAAUGAGCCCGUUACUGAGCUGAUGAAAACGUGUAUCAAUUUUGUAUUGACAAUUAUUUAUUCAAUAGAAACAUGUUCAUGUGAAAUUAAGCUACCAGUGAUUUUGAGUGAAAAACUGUGGUUUUAGCAAAUGAGUGAUAGAAGGUAGCUACACCCUGUCUUUUGUUGGUAGAGCCCCUCUGCCAUAUAAUGGAGACCGCUAUAUGAUUAUUAUUAAUACAAACUUAAAACAAUCUGGCAGUUGAAGCCUAUAAAUGCUUGAAUUGAAGACAUUUAUAAUAUUGUUUGUCAAUAUUAGUUACUUCACAGCCUGAUAAAAUGCACCUUAGCAACCUUUCAGUUUUUCUUCAAUAUCUUUAUUUUUAAAACCUUCCUGAAACAUUUUCAGCUUUAACUUUUACCUAUGAAUAAGCAUCGAAAAUAUAAUUUGUCAUGUACUAUGUGACCAAUUGCAUACCUCUUGAAACUACAUAAUGACGUGUACAUGCUAAGUAGUUAGUAUGUUAAAUAAAUUGCUUUCAUUUUUGUAAAAUGUUAAUGUUAUGUUUAUUAAAAUAAAAGUAUAUAUACGAGC